rnacentral:rRNA from 1 species
AUGUACAUGCCUACAACAUAACGUUAAUGCAGCAGAUCCCAUUAGAACUCCACAGUUAAGCACACUCGGGCUAGAGUAGUACUGGGAUGGGUGAACUCCUAGGAAGUCCUAGUGUUUUACAUU